rnacentral:rRNA from 1 species
GGGACAUAUCAAGUAGGGCGGGACACGUGAAAUCCUGUCUGAAGAUCGGGGGACCACCCCCGAAGGCUAAGUACUCCUUGCUGACCGAUAGCGAACCAGUACCGUGAGGGAAAGGUGAAAAGCACCCCGACAAGGGGAGUGAAACAGUACCUGAAACCGGACGCCUACAAGCAGUCGGAGGGGCCCCUUCAAAAUCGCUUUGGCGAUUUUGAAAGAGCGUAAACUUUCAAAAUUGCAGAGCAAUUUUGUGGGAGCCCUGACGGCGUACCUUUUGUAUAAUGGGUCAACGACUUGGUCUUACGAGCAAGCUUAAGCCGGUAGGUGGAGGCGCAGCGAAAGCGAGUCUUAAAAGGGCGCAUGAGUUCGUGGGAUCAGACCCGAAACCAGGUGAUCUAGCCAUGAGCAGGAUGAAGGUUGGGUAACACCAACUGGAGGUCCGCACCAACACCCGUUGAAAAGGGUCUGGAUGACUUGUGGCUAGGGGUGAAAGGCUAAUCAAACCUGGAGAUAGCUGGUUCUCCGCGAAAGCUAUUUAGGUAGCGCCUCGGACGAAUACCUGCGGGGGUAGAGCACUGCAUGGGUGAUGGGGGCCCACAGCCUUACUGAGCCUAAGCAAACUCCGAAUACCGCAGAGUACUAUCCGGGAGACACACGGCGGGUGCUAACGUCCGUCGUGAAGAGGGAAACAACCCUGACCUGCAGCUAAGGCCCCCAAUUCGUGGCUAAGUGGGAAAGCAUGUGGGACGGCCAAAACAACCAGGAGGUUGGCUUAGAAGCAGCCAUCCUUUAAAGAUAGCGUAACAGCUCACUGGUCUAGACAAGCUGUCCUGCGGCGAAGAUGUAACGGGGCUCAAGCCACGAGCCGAAGCUCAGGAUGCACAGCGAUGUGCGUGGUAGCGGAGCGUUCCGUGAUACAGUCUCAUGUCUCUUGUCUGCCGUUCGCGGCUGGCCGGAGACGCGGGGCUUUCUGUGAAGCCGGGGCGCAAGCCAUCCGGUGGAGAGAUCGGAAGCGAGAAUGUUGACAUGAGUAGCGACAAAGAGGGUGAGAGACCCUCUCGCCGAAAGUCCAAGGGUUCCUGCUUAAAGCUAAUCUGAGCAGGGUAAGCCGGCCCCUAAGGCGAGGCCGAAAGGCGUAGUCGAUGGGAACCAGGUUAAUAGUCCUGGGCCAGGAGGAUGUGACGGAUCCCGACGGUUGUUCACACUUAUCGGAUUGUGUGGGCUGCUUAGGGGUUCCUGGAAAUAGCCCUCCAUCAGACCGUACCCUAAACCGACACAGGUGGACUGGUAGAGAAUACCAAGGCGCUUGAGAGAACCACAUCAAAGGAACUCGGCAAAAUGCCUCCGUAAGUUCGCGAGAAGGAGGCCCCAUGCGUGCGCAAGCAUGUGUGGGGGGCACAGACCAGGGGGUGGCGACUGUUUACUUAAAACACAGGGCUGUGCGAAGCCGCAAGGCGACGUAUACAGUCUGACGCCUGCCCGGUGCUGGAAGGUUAAAAGGAGGGGUGCAAGCUCUGAAUUGAAGCCCCAGUAAACGGCGGCCGUAACUAUAACGGUCCUAAGGUAGCGAAAUUCCUUGUCGGGUAAGUUCCGACCUG